GCUCAGGACGAACGCUGGCGGCGUGCUUAACACAUGCAAGUCGAACGAUGAUGCCCAGCUUGCUGGGCGGAUUAGUGGCGAACGGGUGAGUAACACGUGGGUGAUCUGCCCUGCACUUCGGGAUAAGCCUGGGAAACUGGGUCUAAUACCGGAUAUGACCACAGGAUGCAUGUUUUGUGGUGGAAAGGUUUACUGGUGCAGGAUGAGCCCGCGGCCUAUCAGCUUGUUGGUGGGGUAAUGGCCUACCAAGGCGACGACGGGUAGCCGGCCUGAGAGGGCGACCGGCCACACUGGGACUGAGACACGGCCCAGACUCCUACGGGAGGCAGCAGUGGGGAAUAUUGCACAAUGGGCGAAAGCCUGAUGCAGCGACGCCGCGUGAGGGAUGACGGCCUUCGGGUUGUAAACCUCUUUCAGCAGGGACGAAGCGCAAGUGACUGUACCUGCAGAAGAAGCACCGGCUAACUACGUGCCAGCAGCCGCGGUAAUACGUAGGGUGCGAGCGUUGUCCGGAAUUACUGGGCGUAAAGAGUUCGUAGGCGGUUUGUCGCGUCGUGUGUGAAAUCCCGCAGCUCAACUGCGGGCUUGCAGGCGAUACGGGCAGACUUGAGUACUGCAGGGGAGACUGGAAUUCCUGGUGUAGCGGUGAAAUGCGCAGAUAUCAGGAGGAACACCGGUGGCGAAGGCGGGUCUCUGGGCAGUAACUGACGCUGAGGAACGAAAGCGUGGGUAGCGAACAGGAUUAGAUACCCUGGUAGUCCACGCCGUAAACGGUGGGCGCUAGGUGUGGGUUUCCUUCCACGGGAUCCGUGCCGUAGCUAACGCAUAAGCGCCCC
rnacentral:rRNA from 1 species